rnacentral:rRNA from 1 species
UGUACAACUCUUAGCGGUGGAUCACUUGGCUCGUGGAUCGAUGAAGAACGCAGCUAGCUGCGUUAAAUAGUGCGAAUUGCGGACACAUUGAGCACUAAAAUUUCGAACGCACAUUGCGCCAUCGGGUUUCCUCCCGUUGGCACGUCUGGCUGAGGGUCG